UAAGCGGAGGAAAAGAAACUAACAAGGAUUCCCCUAGUAACUGCGAGUGAAGCGGGAAAAGCUCAAAUUUAAAAUCUGGCGGUCUUUGGCCGUCCGAGUUGUAAUUUAGAGAAGCGUCUUCCGCGCCGGACCGUGCACAAGUCUCCUGGAAUGGAGCGUCAUAGAGGGUGAGAAUCCCGUCUUUGGCACGGAUGCCYGGUGCUUCUGUGAUGCGCUCUCGAAGAGUCGAGUUGUUUGGGAAUGCAGCUCAAAAUGGGUGGUGAACUCCAUCUAAAGCUAAAUAUUGGCGAGAGACCGAUAGCGAACAAGUACCGUGAGGGAAAGAUGAAAAGCACUUUGGAAAGAGAGUGAAACAGUACGUGAAAUUGUUGAAAGGGAAACGCUUGAAGUCAGUCGCGUCGACCGAGACUCAGCCUUGCCUCGGCUUGGUGUACUUCUCGGCCCGACGGGUCAGCGUCAAUUUUGCCCCUCGGAUAAUGGCAAGGGAAAGGUGGCACCUUUACGGGUGUGUUAUAGUCUCCUGUCGCAUGCGAGGGGUGGGAUUGAGGAACUCAGCGCGCACCUUGGUGUCGGGGCUUCGGCCCACGUCACGCGCUUAGGAUGCUGGCGUAAUGGCUUUAAACGACCCGUCUUGAAACACGGACCAAGGAGUCCAACACGCCCGCGAGUGUUCGGGUGGAAAACCCGUGCGCGUAAUGAAAGUGAAAGUUGGGACCUCUGUCGUGGAGGGCACCGACGCCCGGACCAGACCUUCUGUGACGGAUCUGC
rnacentral:rRNA from 1 species